rnacentral:rRNA from 1 species
UGGGCGUAAGGGCUCGCAGGCGGUUUCUUAAGUCUGAUGUGAAAGCCCCCGGCUCAACCGGGGAGGGUCAUUGGAAACUGGGGAACUUGAGUGCAGAAGAGGAGAGUGGAAUUCCACGUGUAGCGGUGAAAUGCGUAGAGAUGUGGAGGAACACCAGUGGCGAAGGCGACUCUCUGGUCUGUAACUGACGCUGAGGAGCGAAAGCGUGGGGAGCGAACAGGAUUAGAUACCCUGGUAGUCCACGCCGUAAACGAUGAGUGCUAAGUGUUACGGGGUUUCCGCCCCUUAGAGCUGCAGCUCACGCAUUAAGCACUCCGCCUGGGGAGUACAGUCGCAAGACUGAUACUCACAGGACUUGACGGAGGCCCGCA